UCUGUCAAGUGGUUGGCUGGCGCUGCUCUAUAAUUUUUGCUAAUUUGCUGAAUGAAAGAAGACAAGUGUUUGUGUAAAUGAUAGUGAACAAAGACAUUUAUACGAAAUAAAUGAGGCUCAGUAGAGAUUCGCUGUUUAACAUUACUCAUGAGUACGGAAGAGACCUUACUGAAUCUCGGCUUCGAAAAAUCAAAUUCUACAAUUGCGCCUACCGAUGACGGCGUGGUAUCAUUAUCAAGCAGUUCAGAGGAAAUUUGUUUAGUGCCAGAGGUCGGGUUCGAGGGCAGCGUGGAUUCCCCAGGGGUUAACCGGGAGUCGCAGCCGCUCCUGGGCGGCCGUGGCGACUUUGAAGUUUCUUUCAACCACUUUCCAGAUGACCCACAGUUCAGCGAGCUGGUGUGGCAGGCUGAGGUGGCGAUCGACAAUGGCAUCUUCCCAGAGAGGAUAUACCAAGGCUCCAGUGGCUCCUACUUCGUCAAGAACCCUGGAGGGAAAAUAAUAGGCGUGUUCAAGCCAAAAGACGAGGAACCAUACGGCAGACUGAACCCAAAAUGGACGAAAUGGAUGCACAAGCUGUGCUGUCCAUGCUGUUUCGGCCGGUCGUGUCUGAUCCCCAACCAGGGGUACUUGUCAGAGGCGGGCGCUAGUCUCGUCGACAGCAAGAUAGGGCUUAAGAUUGUGCCAAAGACCAGGGUAGUGAAACUAGUGUCGGAAACGUUCAACUAUUUACGGAUAGACCGCGAGAGGUCGCGACUGAAAAGGGCCAUCACAGAGCAGUUCCCAAAUCUUAGGUUCAAUAGGAUGGGUCUUCCGCCGAAGAUGGGAUCAUUCCAGUUAUUUGUGGAAGGUUACAAAGACGCAGACUAUUGGCUAAGGAGGUUUGAGCAAGAUCCUCCACCCCCGCAUGUUAUGAGGAAAUUCCAGUUACAGUUCGAGCGUCUCGUCGUCCUGGACUACAUUAUACGGAACACGGACCGCGGGAACGACAACUGGCUGAUCAAGUACGACGCGCCCGCCAGCAGCCAGGAUAUCCCCAUGAGGGAGCCCUCUGAGUGGGCGGCCUCAGAGAUCCGCAUAGCAGCCAUAGACAACGGGCUCGCGUUCCCCUUCAAGCAUCCGGACUCGUGGCGCGCCUAUCCGUACCACUGGGCCUGGUUACCACAAGCCAAACAGCCUUUCAGCCAUGAAACCAAGGAGUUGGUACUACCGUUGCUGUCCGACAUGAACUUCGUACAAGAGCUUUGCGAUGAGUUACAUAUAUUGUUCAAACAAGACAAAGGGUUCGACAAGGGUUUAUUCGAACGGCAAAUGUCGGUGAUGCGCGGCCAGGUGCUGAACCUCACGCAGGCGCUCAAAGACAACAAGAGUCCCGUCCAGCUCGUACAAAUGCCCGCCGUUAUUGUAGAGAGGUCAAAGAGCGGUUCGACGUCGUCGCGUUUCUUCGACUCGUUCCAACAACGUUUCCAGCACAAGUCGCCGUUCUUCUCCUGGUGGUGAGGUGUCGGUGAUCUGGCAUAGUUAUAUCAAUAUGGUGAUAGUUCCGCAGUGACCCUGAUAUAGUAGAACCAAUUGUAUGUAUAUAUCGAUCGCAGUCUGCAUGGAAAGUUCAAAUUGAUAUCAACAUAUCCAUCCCUACUUUGAGUUGUUUAUUACUACAAACUAUAUAGUAUUUUUUUGUAUAUCAACACAUUGGAGUCAAUUCUGUGGUGUUAUUUUUUAUAAGUCUAUCUCAAAAAUGAAAUUCAAAUUUGAUAUUAUUGCGUUGAAAUGUUUAAAAAACCAAUAUGAACUAAAUUUCAAAUUUAAUUUAAGUCAAAAUUAUUCUAAAUUUAGUUCAUGAUGAUUAAUAAAAUAGUAAUUUUGUGAAACUAUCAAAUUAAAAUAUACGAUUAAGAGAUAGUUUAGAUAGAUGGCGCUUCAGAGUUGACGUCAUUGUCAUCAACACAUAUUCAUUGAAGGAAAAUGAUUUAUAAAUAGUUGAUUUUCAACUUACACCUGAACUCCUAGAGUAAGUUUAAUAGGGAUUUAUUUUAAAAUUACUUCCAUGUUACGUCGAUAAUUUGUAUUGAAAUAUUAACAGCGCCCUCUAGCGAAUGCUUUUGGAAGAUAUUUUUAUACAAACUUAUCGUUAUAAACACAGUCGUAUCAUAAAUCUUUGUGCAUCACACACUAGCCAAUCUAUUAUCAUAUAUAGAUAUUAUAUAUAAUACGAAAUCUAAGUCUUCUUCUAACCAUAUGGAUCACGCCAUUUCCCGUGGUUUUUGCCAUGUGAAUCAAAUCAAAGUAGCCUAUUUGUAAAGUAAGGAAAUACCCUAUCCGUAUUCCGAAAUUCAUUCAAAUUCAUUCAUCCGUUUAAGUGUGAUUGAGUAACAAACAUACAAAUGUUUUUACCAAUUUUAACAUAAUAUUAUACUACUUAGUAUUCAAGUUUCAUAUAGCCAGAAGGUGACUUAGGUUCUACCUGUAAAUUCCAAAGACUUUAGUUAAACACGCUAAAGUAUAUAAGUACCCAUACAUUUUAAUCUAAAAAUUCUAAUAAUCUAUUAACGAUACGUUUUCGCUGCUGAAUGCACGAGAUAGAACGAGACAACAAUAUCGGGUGUUUUGUACUAUCUUAUGCGUGAGCUAACUAAAACGUAUCCACUGAUUUGUUUGGCACUUUUCUAGGGAUAUUAUCAGAUUAAUUUUAUUUAUAAAUAUCUACAUAUAUAUUAUUUUAAAGGCUGUAUUAAUUAAAUAUUUAUAUAUUAAAAUAUUAUAAUUUUUAAAUUGUGUUAUACUAUUACAGAAUGCGUUCGGUCAUAUUCUAGUUUAAUGAUGUUUAUUAAGAUAUUAAAUAUAUGUAUAACGUUUAAAAUAAUUUAUAGUUAGCCAAGAGGAAUGCUUUAGUCAUUGUUAUAUUUUAGUGGUCCAUUCAGGUAUAUAUAAAUUUGUAAUGUAAAAAGUUUUUUUUUAAUAAAUUUUAGAUUGAAUGAAAAAAAAAAAAUGUGAACAUAACAAAUGUUCAUGUCACAAUUUGUUGGUGAUCUAAAAGUUUAAAAUAGCCACUUUAUAUGAAUCGUAAUACGAUUCAACUGUAUAAUCCGCCGAUGAAAAUGAUCUAGUCGGUUAAUAUUACACCCACAGCAUGAGACAUCUAUUAAACUUGGCUGGAUGUAUGAAAUUAAUCGUAUUAUAAUUUAUGUAAAUUAUUUAUUUUUAUCCCUCUGUUGUACAAAAACACAUAUAUAUGUAUAUGUACUAUGUUAAAUAUGUAAUUAAUUGUUAGUAAGUUCAACACAUAACUUAUUUGCCGCCGUUAGUUGCUAAUUUGUCUUUUAAAUAUAUUAACAGUGCAAGGAAAUGACCGCAGCAUUGUAUGUAUAUAUGGUAUAAACGUGCGCGGACAUUCGGUCCCUCUCUACAGACAUAAGGACACGUUCACACCAAAUGGUAGUCAGUCGCCAACUAUGAGUAUUGUCUGUGAACCCAAUGAGAUCAUGAAGUAAUGCACUGCAUAAAUUUACAAUAACACGAUAAUUGUGUAAUGAAUUAUAUAUAAGCAUACAAUGCAAUUUAAAUUAUACAACUUUGAUCAAUAUAUAUCUGUUAAUUAUUAUUACACAACAUUGAGCAAUUUGCAGUAAUGUCAACAAUUUUUAAUAUUUGUCGAUAUUGAGUUACUUAAUAACCUAUUACUGUCAAUGACUGUUGCCAAGCAAUUGUGGCUAAAAAUAUUUAUGUCAAGACAUCAAAGUAAUCGCCUAGUCGCCGGCUGACUAUACAAACGGUGUGAAUGCUCCCUAAUGUAAUUAUCCGGGGUGUUGUAAAAUCUUUAAUGGGCUAAAGAAAUGCUGUUUUAGCAGUCAUUUCAUAAAUUCUUCGGAUUUUGAUUAUUGUAUUUAUAUAUUUAUUACUAUAUACUUAUUACAAUAUAGUAUUUAUUACUAUACUGUAAUUAACCUGUUAAAAAAUUACAAUAGUUCAAGUAUCUAAAAUUUACUAUUGCUGUUUAAAUUUUACUAAUGUUUUAUUAAACAAUAUUAGGUAUAACAGUAAAAAAUAAAGUCACCAAUAAUUAUCAAAAUUAACAACGAAUGUGAUAAAUGCACAGAAAAUUAAUACUCUCUGGGUGGUGUAUAUUAUAUAAAAACUUUAAAUGAAACUUGGUAAUAAUGUACCACAAAGUUGUCUCUCAUAUAGCUUAAUUGCUUUACAGCGCUGGCAUCGAUACAGAAUAUAGUACAAUACUUUGUUAAAAAAAUAUCCACAUUAACAAGUACCAUAAACUAGUUAUAAUUUGCGAAAGCAUAAUGUUUUUUAACCUUUCAGUAGUACUGCCUUAUAAGAGAAAGCGCCAUCUAUCGGAUAAAUCAAAUAGAGUAAAUCAAAAGCGAAUAGAUGUCGCUAUCUCUUAUUUGUCAGAUUGAACACUACUGAAUAUAUUUAUAUGUGUAAUCAAUAAUAAAGUGGAUACUGUGUGAAUGUUGUGUGUACAUAGUAUGCGGGAAGGCGAUGUUUUAUUCCGUGGUCCAUUAUGACAAAAUUGAUCUAAACAAAAAACAAUAACCGACUAUUGGGUGUGGCCAAAUAGUACCAACAUUGGAAUACAAAAAAUAUCAAGAUAUACGAUCAGGUGAGGUUCUAAAAAUAGACCAAAUAAUCCAUAUAUUUAUAAGGAAAAUAUUUCUUUUUAUUAAUUACUAGCUUUUACCCUUGACUUUAUCCGUAUGAUUGGGUUGAAAAGUAGCUUGUAGCCAACUCCAUCCCAUAUAGUAAGUCAUAGUGAUUUGUUAAACCGUUAAGAGUAUAUAAAGUAACUCACUUUCACAUUUAUAUUAUUUAUUAAAGAUCUGAUUGGCGGUGUUUCACAUUUUCGAUAUAUAUACAUACACACACACACAUAUAUAUAUAUAUAUAUAUAUAUAUAUAUAUAUAUAUAUAUAUAUAUAUAUAUAUAUAUAAAUCUUUAACUCCACUCGACAUGUCUAAUCCCAAAAUAACUACUUAAUUUUUUUAUUAUUUUAAUUGAGCAUUUUUAAUUAAGUAUACUGACGGAAAUUUAUUAAAUAUUGGUAAAUUUUGUCGCUGUGGACAUGAAUUUUAAAUUGUCUAUACUCUUCCACUUAUGUUUCAUUAUUUUGUUAAAAUUCCAUUUUAUACUGUGAUACGUUAAUUAUUAAGUUCACUUUUCAAUUGUUAAUUUAUUUUAAUAAAUUGUAAUAUUGCAGGAUUUUUUCUGUCAACAUAUAAGAACAUACUUAAUACAAAUGGUUUUGUAUAAAAGUAAAAUAUAAUUAUUAUCUUGUCUAUCUAUCUAUCUAUCCCAUUCAAGAGCUGCGCUCUUGUCGGUGGAGCUCUUGCCACUCACUACGAUUUUCAGCGAGUCUCUUCACCUCUUGAUACGACACGACACUAACUCCUUCCUUGAUCUGCCUGAUGUAACUAUGUCUCGGUCUCCCUCUCCCCCUUCUUCCUUCUAUCUUAUCUUCUAUUAUAAUGUUCAUAAGUUCGUAGAAGUGUACAAAACCAAAAUAUAUAUUUAAUACAUUUUUUUUAGUAAUAAUAGUGUGAAUCAAAUGUGUGACCACAGCGAUAAAACCUAACAUAAGAUGUUUGUUAAUAUUUAACUAGUACUUCGAGAUUAGUUGUUAUAAAAACAUGUCAGUAAGGAUUUUUAACAAUUUAUGAUCCCAGCAGUCAUGAGUCUCGAUUUAUACUUACAACCGAGAAUUUAUAUAAUAAAAAACCGUUUAAAAAUACUUAAAAUCUCUCAUAUCGUCAUAGUCGUAGAAUACUGACGGAUCUUUAUAUGUAAUAUUUGUCAGAUCCGUCAGUAUUCUACGACUAUGACGAUAUUAUUAAAAUAAAUAAAUUUUGAAAAUAAAAACACAGUUAUUCUCUUCCCGCAAACUAGUGUUUUACGAUGUACAUUUAAGUAUUGUAAAUAGUUUUAAUAUUUUUGUUUCAAUGGUUACUACAUGUUUAUAUGCAUUAUUUAAUUUUGGAGAAAAAUAUAAUCACAACUGCAUUUUA